rnacentral:rRNA from 1 species
GACGGACGCUGGCGGCGUGCUUAACACAUGCAAGUCGAACGGAAAGGCCCCAGCUUGCUGGGGUACUCGAGUGGCGAACGGGUGAGUAACACGUGGGUGAUCUGCCCUGCACUCUGGGAUAAGCCUGGGAAACUGGGUCUAAUACCGGAUAGGACCGUGCUUUAGUGUGUGCGGUGGAAAGUUUUUCGGUGCAGGAUGAGCGCGCGGCCUAUCAGCUUGUUGGUGGGGUAAUGGCCGACCAAGGCGGCGACGGGUAGCCGGCCUGAGAGGGUGUACGGCCACAUGGGGACUGAGAGACGGCCCAGACGGCUACGGGAGGCAACGGGGGGGAGUAUGGCACAAUGGGCGCGAGCCUGAUGCAGCGACGCCGGGUGGGGGAUGACGGCCUUCGGGUUGUAAACCGCUUUCGGCAGGGACGAAGCUUUUGUGACGGUACCUGCAUAAGAAGCACCGGCUAACUACGUG